AUGCAGAUACAACAGCAUCUGGCAUAUCGAACUAAAUGUUUCUUCAUCACAUUCAUAAAACUCAUAACCAUUCUUGUAAUACAAAUCUACCUACCAUUAUAGGCAAGAAAAUAAUCAAACGGGACUUUUACAGGUCAAUGCAUUUCGAAUUUUCAGAGGUAAGCCAUUCUUUGGUAGCGAUCAGGUCAGGCAGCACAGUGACACCAGAUUUCCUCCAAUCGACAGCAUCAGCAGUCUUGAACCUGUCCAACAACAAAGCAUGCAUCCCAACACUUCUAGCAGGUAAGUAGUCUUUCCUCAAGCUAUCUCCAAUGUGAAGUACUUCUUCUGGAGCUACAUUUCCUGCUUUCUUCAAGGCAAUCUCAUAUAUCCUUGGAUCUGGUUUUUCAACCCCUUCAAGACCGGAAAAUACGCCGAAAUCCCACUCAGAUCCCUGAUUCAAGCCUAAUGCAGGAAGAAUCACAUCCUGAUAUCGAUACUCAGCAUUGCUGACCAACCCAACUGUAACGCCCCUCUCGCGGAGCCAUCUGAGGAACGGUAUAGCAUCAGGAAAUAUGUUGUAAGGUGCAGAAGAACCAAAAGUUGCAUAUAUGCGUCUAAAUAUCUUCUCAAAUGUCUCAUCAUCAUAUUCAUAACCUGCCUGAACAAAGGAAUUCCUGACACAAGUCUUCCACCAAACAAUGUUAGGAAUCUUUUCAGCAAAUCCAAAACAUGAAUGCUUCUUUGCCAUUUCUGUAUAUGCUAGUUUAAAACCUUCAUGAACCCGCUUAUAGUCAGGACAUUGCUGCCCAGCAGCUUUGGCAGCCAUGCAAUAAUAGUCACCCAACUCUCCUUUGUAAGCAAUCAGUGUACCGGUAACAUCAAGUGUGAUGCAGCGUAACUUCGUUAAAAUUGACAUUGUAAAUGACUGUACAGAAAACUCUACCCUGUGUGUUACAGUCCCAGAAGCUGAAAUGGAUGAAAAAGAGAAUGGGCUUCAAUAAA
rnacentral:misc_RNA from 1 species